rnacentral:tRNA from 2 species
GCCUCGGUAGCGCAGUAGGCAGCGCGUCAGUCUCAUAAUCUGAAGGUCGUGAGUUCGACCCUCACCCGGGGCA